rnacentral:lncRNA from 1 species
AGAUAGGAAAUGGUCCAAUGUGUUAUACAGAUUUGGCUUUUGACUAGUUUCUAAUGUGAAGGACAUUUCCUGACUUCCUCCACGCUGACUUCCUUCAUUCCCCUGUCUCCUCCCCUACAGCUUUACAACUCCGGUAGACCUCACAGAAUCAGGGAACUGGGAAGGAUGGUGCUCAUAAUUAUCAGAUGUAACUGUGUCCAUAAAGCAGGAGUCUUGCUGCUGGUGGAGGAUUUGGAUUCAUCUGGUCAGGACUCCUGUAUGUGGGGGCUUUAGCUGCUGACCUGUUGCCUGAUAGUUUUUCUUCACCAUGGUUUUAGUUCUGACGCAGAAAGAGCUUGGAAGUCAUCAUUCCCAUCCUUACAAGAAGAAAAAGCUGAACGAACUGAAGAUCAAUGACUUUUCUUGAUUCAUCAGAGAACUGGGCUUGUGGGGCAAACUGCCACCCUGAGAUGUGGAGAGUGGUGGAUUCAGACAGUCACAGCUGAGAUUGGCUUAACUGGAACAGAAGCCACUAGAGCCAUGAACAGGUAGGUAGAAGCACUUGGAUGAUAAUUUUGAUGAAUUGCUGGAGGGUGAGUGUGGACUAGCAUGACACUG